UGGGAACGUAGAUUCAGGAGGUUGCUGGGAAACAGGUAGAUUUCUGAGGAGUGAAUGUCCAGUUCAAGAAACGGACGACAA
rfam:Epulopiscium sp. Nele67-Bin005 Nele67M_MBin00235, whole genome shotgun sequence.